rnacentral:rRNA from 1 species
UACGUGAGGGUGCGAGCGUUUGUCCGGAAUUACUGGGCGUAAAGAGCUCGUAGGCGGUUUGUCGCGUCGGCCGUGAAAUCUCCACGCUUAACGUGGAGCGUGCGGUCGAUACGGGCAGACUUGAGUUCGGUUAGGGGAGACUGGAAUUCCUGGUGUAGCGGUGAAAUGACGCAGAUAUCAGGAGGAACACCUGCGGCGAAGGCGGGUUGCUGGGCCGACACGUGACGCUGGAUGACGCGAAAGCUAGGGGAGCGAACGGG